CCUACGGGAGACAGCAGUGAGGAAUAGUGGUCAAUGGACGAGAGUCUGAACCAGCCAAGUAGCGUGAAGGAUGACUGCCCUAUGGGUUGUAAACUUCUUUUAUAAAGGAAUAAAACGAGGCACGUGUGCCUUUUUGCAUGUACUUUAUGAAUAAGGAUCGGCUAACGCCGUGCCAGCAGCCGCGGUAAUACGGAGGAUCCGAGCGUUAUCCGGAUUGAUUGGGGUGAAAGGGAGCGUAGAGGGGUUGUUAAGUCAGUUGUGAAAGUUUGCGGCUCAACCGUAAAAUUGCAAUUGAUACUGGCAGUCUUUCGUACAGUUGCGGUCGGCGGAUUUCGUGGUGUAGCGGU
rnacentral:rRNA from 1 species